rnacentral:rRNA from 1 species
UACGAAGGGGGCUAGCGUUGCUCGGAAUCACUGGGCGUAAAGCGCACGUAGGCGGCUUUUUAAGUCAGAGGUGAAAUCCCGGAGCUCAACUCCAGAACUGCCUUUGAUACUGGAGAGCUUGAGUCCGGGAGAGGUGAGUGGAACUGCGAGUGUAGAGGUGAAAUUCGUAGAUAUUCGCAAGAACACCAGUGGCGAAGGCGGCUCACUGGCCCGGUACUGACGCUGAGGUGCGAAAGCGUGGGGAGCAAACAGG